UAAGGAAUAUUGGGCAAUGGACGCAAGUCUGACCCAGCCAUGCCGCGUGAAGGAUGAAUGUCCUAUGGAUUGUAAACUUCUUUUAUGCAGGAAAAAUAUCCCGGUCGUGAACCGGGACUGAUGGUACUGUAUGAAUAAGCAUCGGCUAACUCCGUGCCAGCAGCCGAGGUAAUACGGAGGAUGCAAGCGUUAUCCGGAUUCAUUGGGGUUAAAGGGUGCGCAGGCGGAAUGUUAAGUCAGUGGUGAAAUCGCCCGGCUCAACCGGGAAACUGCCAUGGAGACUGUCGUUCUUGAGUACAGUUGAAGUGGGCGGAAUGGGUCAUGUAGCGGUGAAAUGCUUAGAUAUGACACAGAACACCGAUAGUGAAGACAGCUCACUAAGCUGUAACUGACGCUCAUGCACGAAAGCGUGGGGAUCAAACA
rnacentral:rRNA from 1 species